ACUUACUGCAGAAACAUCCUCUAAAGAUGAGUGUAGUCCUGGUGUACUUACUGCAGAAACAUCCUCUAAAGAUGAGUGUAGUCCUCGUGUACUUACUGCAGAAACAUCCUCUAAAGAUGAGUGUAGUCCUCGUGUACUUACUGCACAAACAUCGUCUAAAGGUGAGUGUAGUCCUCGUGUACUUACUGCACAAACAUCGUCUAAAGGUGAGUGUAGUCCUCGUGUACUUACUGCACAAACAUCGUCUAAAGGUGAGUGUAGUCCUGGUGUACUUACUGCAGAAACAUCCUCUAAAGGUGAGUGUAGUCCUCGUGUACUUACUGCACAAACAUCGUCUAAAGGUGAGUGUAGUCCUGGUGUACUUACUGCAGAAACAUCGUCUAAAGGUGAGUGUAGUCCUCGUGUACUUACUGCAGAAACAUCGUCUAAAGGUGAGUGUAGUCCUCGUGUACUUACUGCAGAAACAUCGUCUAAAGGUGAGUGUAGUCCUGGUGUACUUACUGCAGAAACAUCCUCUAAAGGUGAGUGUAGUCCUCGUAUGCAGUAUAGAAUUGGGACACAGUCUUUGUAUUCUAACAGUUGGACAUUCCCCCGCGAGGAGCAGCGUCUAGUAGCCAGUAGAGGAACAUUGUACUUCCAGCAGCAGCUUCAGCCUCCGACUGCUGUCUGAGGAGGUGAUUCUGCCCAGUUUCAGAGCCUAAAGUGUUUAUUUUUUACAUGUCCGUGUUGAUGAUUGUUGUGUGAAACAGAAACUUAAAGAUGUUUUCAUGCUUCA